rnacentral:misc_RNA from 1 species
GUGAGUCAUCGAAUCUUUGAACGCACAUUGCGCUUUCUGGUAUUCCGGAAAGCAUGCCUGUUUGAGAAUCGAUCAACACUCAUCAAUCAUUUUGCUUUCAUUGGCACCUUGAACGAUGGAUUUGGGUUAUUUGCGUUUCAGCAAUGACCUUCAAAACAAUGUAUGACCAUGGUCUGUUUCAGCAGUGCUAAGGUUUGAGUGCAUGAAUAAGGUAUUUCCUUUUAUGAUUUCGCUCAUGCUUUGGACAACGCUUGGAAUGACUUGGUCAUCUCAAAUUAACUCACUGUGUGGUUCAGUUUG